GGCGAGCCAUUCUCUGUCAGAACGUCUCGAGUGAGUGUGUGUUAGAUUUUUCUUCCCGGUCCGCGUGGCACAGGCCGUAUUGGUACCAAGUUCCUUGCUUCAUAUUUCCUGUUACCAGAUACGUGCCACAGACACCCACGCAGCAUCACACCACGUGUACCUAACCAGAAUUGCCGACAAUUUCAAUCCUGCCCGGUGAAGCGUGCGAUUGCCAGACGCGUGUCACCUGACCCCAACCUCCAAGAAGGUGUCGUUGGUGACCAGAGCCGUCAGCGAGCCACGAGCCGUCCGGAGCUCCUGUCCUGGCCCCGUCCAGCAGUCCAGGUUGGCCGUUGUAUGUUCGUUGAGCGGAUACUGAGGAAUUUCCUUAGGAUUUCCAUUAAUCUUCAGCGGCAUCAGCCUUCUAACGCCGCUGCUGAAUGUAGGAUUGCAAAGGCAGAACCCGGGUGGACUCUAGCGGGUUAAAACUUUUAUUUUAUU